UCACAGGUAUAACCAAUGAAAACACAACCUAAGAUACAAAUCAGGAGCUACUGAUGCAAAGAAUGGGGACCAGGAGGAAGAGUUUCUUCGAGACCUGGUGGUUGAAGAGCAGUGGAUCAUUCUUGGCUGUGGUGGGAGAGGUGCUGAACGUUGUUCACGCUGGCUAUGUCAUGAGUGGAAUCUAUGGCGUCAAGGCUAGAGAAGGAUGGAUAGAGAAAAGCAUCAUUACAAAAGUGAAAUGUGUGAAUUUUAUUCUGGCUUUGAACAUUGAGUAGACGAAGAAGACAAUUCCAGACGGAGGAAACUCCACAAGAAAUAUCAUGGAAAUUUGAAAGAACACAGUGGGCUUGGGAAGAGAGAUCUCAGUGGUGGAAGCACCAUCAUCCCAAGGAGACUUAGGACAUUAUUUGAAGAGAGUUUUCCCCUGAGGAAAGUGCUUCAGAGGAGAAAAUACACCAGUUUGAAAGAAACAGCCACGGUUUGCAUGGUGUUCCAUGGUUUGUUUCUACCUUGCUGUGCAUGACCUCCACUGCUAAGGUCAUUUAUGGCCCAAGAUGAUUACUCCAGCUCCAGCCAUCACAUCUGUAUUCCAUCCUGCAGAAAGGAAGAAAGAAGAAAAAGACAAGGCCCUGCUCUGAGGAGUGAAGACACAAUCCAGCAGGCAGGAGGGAUGGCUAAGUUCAAAGUCUUGAGAAGUGCCCCUCAUGGACACCCCAGGGUGCCCAUCUCCAGGUUACCACCAGGUGCUUCCAAGACCAAGAUAACCAGGCAAUCAUAGUAGAUGCAUCAAUGCACCCUUGCCCAAGGGCCUAGACAAGAGGUAUUGUUUAGCUUCGCAUGAAUUUUAUCACCUUGCCUAGAACCAGCCACCAUCUGCCAGGGCUCCUGACUUUUUCUGAAAUGAAUAGACACUAAAGCCUGCUGGGGAAUUUCAUGGAAAUCAAGAUGACUCAACCCAGAGUCCAUUUCAAGGCUAGGAUGCUAGAGGACGCCAACAAAGGAGUAGGGAAGUGAAACGGAUCAGCUCACAUCCAAGCCCUUGCAUGAUCAAUCCUGCAGUAGGAGUGCUGCUCAGUUGGGACUCAUGAGAGCCCGGAAGAGGAAAAAGCAGCUCUAAGCAUAGCAAAGAAGCUGUUAUGGAAAAGACCCAAAUGUUAAAAUGGUGGACAUAGUAAAGUGAUUGGUUCUGCUUAGGGGAAUCUAGAUCCCCACAUUUUGACCUCCACUGGAGUCUCAGAAGAACAAGUGCCAGGGGGGCUUGCCACAGAGGCCAAGGCAGUGAAUGUCAGGCACAUCACAGUCCCCAAGAUGGGGAGAAGACUGAGAUGCAGGGUAACAACUGCAAUCCAUUCAUGGGAGCCAUGUUUAUCUUAAAUCAUUGACAGUGAGAUAAGGAUCAUGUCAGCCUUCAUACCUUUGAUGAUGAUCCCAGGCUGCAACAGUGACACAUAGAACUGGAUUCAGUAACUAACUACAGAUUCCAUCAACCAGGACUAGUAAAGUGAAAGGCAGAAAUUGGGAGGAGGGGUUUCUUUCUUGCUUAUAAAACUUUAUUUGGUUGUGUUGAGUAUGUGCAUGUAUGUAUGAAAUCCCAUAAAGCAGUCUUCUUAGGAACAAGCCAACAUGCCACAAUGUAGGAGAUCUUUGGAGCACUGGCCUAAAUGGCAGAGAGCUCAAGGGACUCUGCUUUGUACAAGGCAUGAUUUGUACCACCACCACUAUCCCUGUUUCAGAGCACUGUUGAAUUGUUCCAAACCUGGAUUUCUAUGUCAGCUCCCUGUCUAUAGUACUUGACUGAUAAAUGCUAGUUUCUGAAAUC
rnacentral:lncRNA from 1 species